rnacentral:misc_RNA from 1 species
CACUAAACAAUAUAUUAUUCGUAAAAUCCCAAUCUAAAUUCCUUUAUCCCAGCUUAAAAUUCGUUUCAUGGCCCUUUAACUGAUCAACUUUUUACCAUACUGGCGAUGUAGCAGAAAAAAGAAAUAUGUUUCAUAAUACCUUCCAACUUUUACGUCAGAUAGUGCGAGCUGGCACCCAUUACUAGACACGCAGGUAUUCCGUUUCCUAAUUCGUUUGUCACUGUGUUCAUGAAAUUGCAAAAUCCUGGGUGUGCCUUGUGUGUUAUCCUCGUUGCUGUCUGGUUAGCUUGAUGCAGUUGGAGGCUGCACUUGCUUUGUUUCUAAUUACUGUCAUUGCUUUUUGUGUUUAUUCGUAGGCAUCUCAGCUGUUCCCGUAUGUCCCUCGUUACCUUUUGAGCAUCUUCAGGAACCUGACUGCGGGCAGCAAUUCGUAUGGAACUCGUGCAGCCUUCAGGUCAUAGUGAUGGAGCAGAACUGUUUGAGGAGUCCUGCUGCCCACUGAAAGUCAACGAGGACAUCUCUUUUAAAUGCUGUUUCUGCACUUAUGUCACUAGAGAUCAGCGCCGAAUCAUGAGCCAUCUGGUUUCUCAUGGUGGUGAACAACUCAAGUUCCUGCGUCCUUUCAUGUCCUCUGGCUCUAGGUUCAAAGUGCACAGUGACACACAGCACACAAGUGAUAAGCUGUUGAAAUGCAACUUGUACCCUCAAGCCUUCGCUCAGGAUACCCAUCUUGCUGAUUGCGAUCAAGCUGGCACAAGUAAAAAGCAAUACAGGUGCAAGCUGUGUCAGCAAGCAUUUACUCGGAAUUCCCAUCUGACCAUUCAUAACCGAACACACACUGGUGAAAAACCUUUCAAGUGCAAUCUGUGUCCGCAAGCCUUUGCUCGAAAGUCCGGUCUAACUAGCCAUAUUAUAGCGCACGCAACUGGAAAACGUUAUAAGAUCAAGCAGUGCCCCUGAAUGUUUGCUCAGAGGGUUGAUCUGACGCACUAUAAUCAAACGCACAGGGGUGAAAAACGUUACAAGUGGAAGGAG